rnacentral:tRNA from 1 species
GGGGUUGUAGCUCAGUGGUACAGCACUUGCCUAGCAUGCAUGAAGCUCUGGGUUCAAUUCCCAGUAUCACA